rnacentral:rRNA from 1 species
UCAGGACGAACGCUGGCGGCGUGCCUAACACAUGCAAGUCGAGCGAGGAGAUUCCUUCGGGAUGAUCCUAGCGGCGGACGGGUGAGUAACACGUGGGCAACCUGCCUCAUAGAGAGGAAUAGCCUUCCGAAAGGGAGAUUAAUACCUCAUAGCAUUGCAGUUUCGCAUGGAACAGCAAUUAAAGGAGUAAUCCGCUAUGAGAUGGGCCCGCGGCGCAUUAGCUAGUUGGUGAGGUAACGGCUCACCAAGGCGACGAUGCGUAGCCGACCUGAGAGGGUGAUCGGCCACAUUGGGACUGAGACACGGCCCAGACUCCUACGGGAGGCAGCAGUGGGGAAUAUUGCACAAUGGGGGAAACCCUGAUGCAGCCAACGCCGCGUGAGUGAUGACGGCCUUCGGGUUGUAAAGCUCUGUCUUCAGGGACGAUAAUGACGGUACCUGAGGAGGAAGCCACGGCUAACUACGUGCCAGCAGCUGC